GAGUGCCAAGUUUCUCCGUCUUUUAUACCUUUUUAGCAAGUUUGUAACUUUUCCAAGAUUUCUUAUCAGUGCAGCCCAGCAUGUAUCUUGUCAUGCGCACUAGGUCAUCAGUAUGGUUGAUCAGGCCAGUCGUGACCACCCAAGGCUCAUGCCAGAUACAUGCGGUAUCUUAUCUAUCUAUGUCCCUACUCUUAUCUCUCCAUACAUUUGUUGGCACCAAUUCCCUCUGUUCAGCAGUAGGCCUUUUUGGAUAUUGGCCAGACAUGCUAUGGAAUAUUCCAGGCAAUGUUGAAUUUCUUAGUGCGACACAGUUUAAGCAUUUUAUGCAAUGUCAUCAUAACUGAAUUUCUUAGUGCGACACAAGUUGAAUUUCUUAGUGCGACACAGUUUAAGCCAAGUGCCAUCUUAAC